AUGCACGCUGGCGGCGUGCCUAAUCCAUGCAAGUCGAGCGCACGGACGAGAAGCUUGCUUCUCUGAUGUUAGCGGCGGACGGGUGAGUAACACGUGGCUAACCUACCUAUAAGACUGGGAUAACUUCGGGAAACCGGAGCUAAUACCGGAUAAUAUUUUGAACCGCAUGGUUCAAAAGUGAAAGACGGUCUUGCUGUCACUUAUAGAUGGAUCCGCGCUGCAUUAGCUAGUUGGUAAGGUAACGGCUUACCAAGGCAACGAUGCAUAGCCGACCUGAGAGGGUGAUCGGCCACACUGGAACUGAGACACGGUCCAGACUCCUACGGGAGGCAGCAGUAGGGAAUCUUCCGCAAUGGGCGAAAGCCUGACGGAGCAACGCCGCGUGAGUGAUGAAGGUCUUCGGAUCGUAAAACUCUGUUAUUAGGGAAGAACAUAUGUGUAAGUAACUGUGCACAUCUUGACGGUACCUAAUCAGAAAGCCACGGCUAACUACGUG
rnacentral:rRNA from 1 species